GGAGAGCUCAGGGAACAGAGGACAGAGAAAGGGGUUGUGGAAGGUCUCUUCACUUGCAUUAGAAAUGAGUGGGCUUUGGCAACCCCAGAAAGCAGUCCAUGUGCACAUACAUCGGGUCUGUGGAUCCCAGACAUGGCCUCACUGCGCGCCUGCUGUACAUGGUUUUCAGAUGACAAAUGUGAUUACGCUGUCCUAAGGAGAGCUUUUUGCUGUACUGCAAUGAGCAGCUGACAGCCCCACGGGGUGGUGGGAAGCAGGAUCAGCCAGGCUUCAGCAUGGACUAUCAUCUCAGUGGGUUUUAUGAUGCCACAGAACCAACCAGGUUUCCUGCUUAACAGCAAAUGACGACGGUGAGAAGAUGAAGACAACAAAACAGCCUAGAGGUUUGCUGUUCCUGCUGUGAGCAGGCAGGAAGUCUGCAGGGUUCCUCCAGGGAAAGGGGCCUCCAAAAUCCUUCUGUGAUGAAACACUUCAGUGGUAAACUGAGGCCCAAUCCCUACCAGCCUGCAAGUACAAUUUAGAGGAAAGAUGGUUGUGUGAGAUGGAGGCAGGGAAAGAGGAAGCUCCAGAAGACAAAAGGGUGGUUGACAGUGAUCCAUACUUGGCUACCAUUUUGGAGCAUCCUUGGAAAGAUGCAGAGGAGUGGAAACAGAGGGAACCAGGCCUACCAUCCUCUCUGUUCCCAUGGUGAGAGAAUGUGUUGCUACUGCAUCAUACCUGCAGCUGUUGAUAUGCCUCAAUAUGCAGCACCUGUGAUUCCCUGAUACCAGAAGUCAGGCCAUAUUGAAAUGGCUGAAAUGGCUCCAAAACCAGGGCUUUUGGUGUCUGGCACUGGAAGGUAUUUAUCUCAAUGCAUGUGAAAAGACGACACAAAUGAAAUCUGCAGCCAAAUUGGUGACUAUUUGGAAAAUAUUGUAUGAAAACAACACAUUAACUCCCCAGUAAGUCAAACCAGCAUCUUUUCAUGUACUCAGUUUCUUCAAAACAUGUGUAGGUCACUCAGAAAGUAAUGCCUCCUAUUUAUUUCCAUGGAAACUACAACAUAUACGAAGAGCACAAUAACACUGUUUGAUAGAGCGAAUUGUCAGCUACAAAACACUAUUUUUCAACAUGGUCACCACUAUUAGCUAUGCAUUUUCACCAGUAAUGAACAAGAGCCUGCAUGCUACAUUCAUGAAAAUCUGCACCAGCAGAGGUGACCCACUGUUUCAAAGCUGUUAUGAUUGUGUUACUGCUAGGAAGAUGUUGCCCAUGCAGUCCAUUUUUCAUCAACCCAAACAGGUAGAAGUCAGAAAGUGCCAAAUUUGGACUACACAGUGGGUACAGUAGAACAGUCCAGCCAUGAUUGGUAAUAUGUUCCAUGGUCUUCAAACUGGGAUAGGCCCUGAUGUUACUGCGUUGCAAGAGAAAGGUUGUCCUUCUCUGGUCUGACUCUGAAAGUUUAAGCCUUCAGCUUAGUCAGUUUGAUGAUGCAGUGGUCAGAGUUGAUGGUUUACCCAGGUUCCAGGAAAUCCACAAGGAUCACUGCUUUCCUAUCCCAAAAGACAGUGCACAUCACUUUACCUCCUGAGAGCAGCAUCUUGAAAUUUUUCUUUGAUGGGAAAUUUGAAUGUCAUCAUUCCAUGGACUGCCAUUUUGACUCUAGCUCGUAGUGGUGACACCAUGUCUCAUUGCCAGUAAUGAUAUGAUCCAAGAAGCUGUCACCUUCAGUCACGUAUUUGUUCAAUAGAGCCUGAAAAACUUGCAUAUGGUGUUCUUUAUGUGCCUGUGUGAGCAUUCAUGGGACAGACCUACCAGGAGCAAUCUUUGUGACAUUUAACCUUGCCACCAUUUCCAACACACUGAAGCCAAUAUUCGGCUCCAUACACUCUGUUGCCUAAUCUUAAUCUGCCAGUUCAUGUGGAUGAGCUGAUCAAGACCCUCCUCAUUUUGUACCGUGACAGCUGUGCAUGUCCAUCUGGAAUGUAGCUUAUUUCUCAUGUCGCAGCCGCCACUACUGAAACACACCACCCACCACCUCACUGUGCUCACAUCCACUGUUUGGUCUCCACAAGUUUUUAGUAAGCCUUGAUGAAUAUCAGGGCCACUUUUUUCCACAUGGAGUUGUUCAGUAACACAGCUUUGACAUUUCCAUGUCAGACGCCAUUCUGUCAGAUUGUACCUCUGCUGUCACCUGUUGCACGGCAACAAAAUAUUGGAUAUUGGUGGGAACUUUCAGCUCCUACUGUCAUACCACCAACAUCUGCUUCUGAUGUUGUGGGCCAACAUAAUAAAAUUGAAGGCCUCUACUUUCUGAGCAGCCCUUGUAAAAAUCCCUUUUUUGGAGGAAUUUUCUCACGAGUGUAGGUAAAAUCAGAGGACGAGGGAGGUUGUCCAUACUUCUAGAAACAGAUCUGUAGUGACACAACAAAAAUAAGUUCAGUGAAUGUUGGAUUCACAUUUUUUGCUUCUUUCCUGUCUGCCUUUGCUAUUCAGAAGUCUCCAUUCUUCUGCUUGAAGCAAGCAGCCCGAUGCCUCUCAGGGCUUGCCCUCAUCUCUGCAGCUCAAGAGAAAUUGAGCUGCAGAGCUUUUCAGAAAUCCUAUCCAGAAUUGUCAGUGGAGCUCCCAGGCAAGAAAAAAGUGAACCAGUUGUGCAUCGUGUCAUGCCACAGGAGCCAUCACCUGAGUCUAAGCCUGGCACUUCAGGCUGUUCACAGUGCAGGGUGGGAGCUGGAGCAGGAGGCUGGCAGUGGUAGCCUGGGAUGUUCCCGGUGAAAUCACAUAUCCCAAGCUUCACCUAUGUAAAUAUUUGCUUUUUUAACCCAAUGAAAGGGAAAUACAGGAAGUAGCAGAAAUGAUGAUGUGAAUUCAGAAGACAUGCAUGGGUGCAACUGCCCAGAUAAAGAUUCUGCAAAGAGCAAUCCAUUCCAGUUACAGUUCAGAAAUGUUUGAGCUUAUCUUUCUAGUUCACAGUAGAAGAAUGAGUCUUAUCUUAAGCAAAAUGUGCUAGAUCAUUACUAAUCAUAAUGGAAUUUUUCAAUUUGAUGAAAUUGAUCUGGCCCUAGUGGUUAUUGCUAAAGUAUCAAAAAAAAUAACCUCCUGCUAUCAGCUCAAGUCUGUGGUGAAUCACUAGUUUCCUAUAUCUUCUUCUUCAAAAAAAGGUUUGAAAUGCCUAUACUAUUGCCUAUACUGAUUAUUUUUUAGACCUUGGUGUUUUGGAAAGGAAUUACUAGAUAUUUAUCUUUUUUUUUUUUUUUUUUUUUGUAAGACUGCAUAUCUUACUGAUGCUAAAAAUAAAAGUAAUUCAAACUGACUGAGUUAUAGAAUUAUUGUUACCAUACCGAAAAUGUCACUGUGACAGAAUAACAAAUUCUAGAAUAAUGAGCCACAGACAUCUGCUGGUUUCUGAACUGUUACCAUUCUUCCACUGCCGUAGGUUUGUAUGAUGGCUCUGCUGUUGUCAUCGCUGGUGCGUGAUCUGCAUCAUCUAGUUACAGCUAAAUGUUUACCAAGAUGAGAAGUCACAGUGUUCAAGAGUGACUGAGAGGCAGGUUGCUAGUGAACAGACCAGAUAAGCAGAGUGAGAAGGCAGCAGCUGCAGCUCAGCAUCCCCACUGUUACAAGAGGAAUGCCGCCUAUAUGGUUUCUAUAAGCUGCCUUUAAAUACAAGACUCUCAGAAAAAUCCAGGAAACAGAAGAGUGGGAAGGUGCUGAGAGGGAAGUGGGAAGCUUAGAUCUGCUUACAGCUCUGCCCCGACCCUCUGACCUUCUGCAAGUCACUGCCACGCUCUGCCCUCCUAUACAUACCUUUGUCCUUAGUGCUGCUCUGACAGCACAAAGAGUAACCUGAGAGAUGUCCCAAGCAAAAGGAGAACCUUGUAAUCUA